AGUGAACGCUGGCGGCGUGCUUAACACAUGCAAGUCGAGCGGUAACAGAGAUAGCUUGCUAUCUGCUGACGAGCGGCGGACGGGUGAGUAAUGCUUGGGAAUAUGCCUUUGAUGGGGGACAACAGUUGGAAACGACUGCUAAUACCGCAUACGCCCUACGGGGGAAAGAAGGGGACCUUCGGGCCUUUCGCGAUUGGAUGUGCCCAAGUGGGAUUAGCUAGUUGGUGAGGUAAAGGCUCACCAAGGCGACGAUCCCUAGCUGGUUUGAGAGGAUGAUCAGCCACACUGGAACUGAGACACGGUCCAG
rnacentral:rRNA from 1 species